rnacentral:rRNA from 1 species
CCCUUAGAUGUUCUGGGCCGCACGCGUGCUACACUGAGUGGAUCAGCGGGUCAGGUUGCGCGAAAGCGUUUCCUAAUCUUUAAAUCUGCUCGUGAUGGGGAUUGACGGUUGCAAUUUUCUGUCAUGAACGAGGAAUACCUUGUAAGCGCGGGUCAUCAUCCCGCGCUGAAUACGUCCCUGCCCUUUGUACACACCGCCCGUCGCUCCUACCGAUUGAGUGGUCCGGUGAGGCUUUGGGAUCUGAGCGGAAAGAGCGUUUCGCUGUUUCUGCUCGGAAAACUCAGUCGAACCUUAUCAUUUAGAGGAAGGAGAAGUCGUAACA